rnacentral:tmRNA from 1 species
GGGGGUGUUCCGGAUUCGAUUUCUGAUUGGAGCGCGCUGCUGCCGUUCGAGAGUGAAAUGUCUCUCGUUAAUCCCCGUUUCAAAAAUUCAAAUGGCAACUACGAAGAAAUGCCCCUGGCUGCUUAAUUAAGCGCCACGUUGGUCCAGCGACACCUGCUAGCUGAAACCGACGCCGACAGCAGGCAUAGCAUGUGGUGCGACUCGCGGAACACAUGCCGUAUCUUCAUCUGGGAGUUGGCCCGGGCUUAAGCGCGUGUUCACGCAUAAUCCGGGCGAGAUUAAAUUGGCACUAUAACGGUAGAUGCGGCGCGUGAAGGCCAGAAAGACGCGGGUUCAACUCCCGCCACCUCCACCA